rnacentral:rRNA from 1 species
CGGUGAAUACGUUCCCGGGCCUUGUACACACCGCCCGUCAAGUCAUGGAAGCUGGGGGUACCUGAAGUACGUAACCGCAAGGAGCGUCCUAGGGUAAAACUGGUAACUGGGGCU